rnacentral:rRNA from 1 species
AACGAACGCUGGCGGCAUGCCUAACACAUGCAAGUCGAACGAGACCUUCGGGUCUAGUGGCGCACGGGUGCGUAACGCGUGGGAACCUGCCCUUAGGUUCGGAAUAACUCCCCGAAAGGGGUGCUAAUACCGGAUAAUUUCUUCGGACCAAAGAUUUAUCGCCUUUGGAUGGGCCCGCGUUGGAUUAGCUAGUUGGUAGGGUAAAAGCCUACCAAGGCUACGAUCCAUAGCUGGUCUGAGAGGAUGAUCAGCCACACUGGGACUGAGACACGGCCCAGACUACUACGGGAGGCAGCAGUGGGGAAUAUUGGACAAUGGGCGAAAGCCUGAUCCAGCAAUGCCGCGUGAGUGAUGAAGGCCUUAGGGUUGUAAAGCUCUUUUACCCGGGAUGAUAAUGACAGUACCGGGAGAAUAAGCACCGGCUAACUCCGUG